UGUCAAGAAAUUAGCAAAUCGAUUCUAUCUGUAAAGUAUUUCCAUCCUCUGCACCAGCUCAGUCGGCAGAGCAUUGGACUCUAAAUCGGUUGCCGGUUUCAUUCUGGGUGGUAACACAACUCUCUGUUCCCCACUUCUCCGCCUCUUUAUACGUCAGUAAUGUAGAAACCCAAGAAAUGUGUCAAGUAACUGUCCUUAAAUAAUUAUUCUGACUGUUAAAACGGCAUAAAACCCGAAGAAUCAAAUCGCUUUUUUUCAGGUUAAUGGUCCACUCAAGAACAGAUUCAGUUCUCUUGCCGUGAAGCUGGGCUUUGUAAACCGAAGUUUUACUGUUCAGAGAGCCGAAUUUCCGAUCGUUUUGCGACAUGCUCUAGAGCAGACUACACCAGCAUCCGUGAGAGUGGCAUUUGCCGUAACUGGGAUAGUACCCUUUAACCCAAAAGCCAUUGACACCAGUCAGCUCGUGCCACCAACGUUCAAAAAAACAAAUCCUCAAAAUGGAAACAAAGAGAACACUAAUGUUCGUUCAUGCGAAACCUGUGGCUCAUUCCUAGUAAACCCUCUUGUGGACCAAGGACUUAUUCCUGAGAGGAUGGCCGAUGUUUUGAUGCCGCCGCCAAUGCCUCCAAUGAAGUCAGGAAAGAAGGCAUCCAGGCGAGUUCCAGAGGGUAGGGUGAUCAGCGGAGAUGAAAUGCUGAAGCUGUUGAAGGAGAAGGAAGAUGCAGCGAGGAGAGAGAAGGAAGAGAAGGAG